rnacentral:rRNA from 2 species
UUGAUCCUGGCUCAGGACGAACGCUGGCGGCGCGCCUAACACAUGCAAGUCGAGCGGAGAUGUACGGAUGAAGUUUUCGGAUGGAUUCCAUACAUUUUAGCGGCGGACGGGUGAGUAACGCGUGAGUGACCUGCCUUCCACAGGGGGAUAACGUACCGAAAGGUACACUAAUACCGCAUGAGACCCCGGCACUGCCUGGUGCAGAGGUCAAAGGAGCAAUCCGGUGGAAGAUGGACUCGCGUCCGAUUAGAUAGUUGGUGGGGUAAUGGCCUACCAAGUCAGCGAUCGGUAGCCGACCUGAGAGGGAUUAAUUCGCCACCACCUGGAACUGAGGAGACGGUCCAGACUCCUACGGGAGGCAGCAGUGGGGAAUAUUGGGCAAUGGGGGAAACCUGACCCAGCGACGCCGCGUGAGGGAAGAAGGUUUUCGGAUGUAAACCUCUGUUCUUGGUGAAGAGUGGAAGACGGUAACCAAGGAGGAAGCCCCGGCUAACUACGUGCCAGCAGCCGCGGUAAUACGUAGGGGGCGAGCGUUGUCCGGAAUGAUUGGGCGUAAAGGGCGCGUAGGCGGCUGUUUAAGUCUGGAGUGGAAGUCCUAUUUUUAAGGUAGGAAUUGCUUUGGAAACUGAGCAGCUUGAGUGCAGGAGAGGUCAUCGGAAUUCCCGGUGUAGCGGUGAAAUGCGUAGAGAUCGGGAGGAACACCAGUGGCGAAGGCGGGUGACUGGACUGCAACUGACGCUGAGGCGCGAAAGUGUGGGGAGCAAACAGGAUUAGAUACCCUGGUAGUCCACACUGUAAACGAUGAAUGCUAGGUGUAGGGGGUAUCGACCCCUUCUGUGCCGCAGUCAACACAAUAAGCAUUCCGCCUGGGGAGUACGGUCGCAAGAUUAAAACUCAAAGGAAUUGACGGGGGCCCGCACAAGCAGCGGAGCAUGUGGUUUAAUUCGAAGCAACGCGAAGAACCUUACCAGGUCUUGACAUCCAGGUAAAGCUGCAGAGAUGCAGUGUGUGCUUGCACAAUCUGAGACAGGUGGUGCAUGGUGUCGUCAGCUCGUGUCGUGAGAAUGUUGGGUUAAGUCCCGCCAACGAGCGCACCCCCUGCGAAUAGUUACUAACAGUAAAGUUGAGACUCUAUUGGGAACUGCCGUGGACAACACGAGAAAGAGUGGGGGACGACUCUCAAACAUCAUGCCCUUAUGACCUGGGCUACACACGUGCUACAAUGGUCGCAACAAAGAGGAGCAAAACCGUAAGGUAGAGCAGAUCUCAAAAACGCGAUCUCAGUUCGGAUUGUGGGCUGCAACCCGCCCACAUGAAGUAGGAGUUGCUAGUAAUCGCGAAUCAGCAUGUCGCGGUGAAUACGUUCCCGGGCCUUGUACACACCGC